rnacentral:rRNA from 1 species
UGGGGAAUUUUGGACAAUGGGCGAAAGCCUGAUCCAGCAAUGCCGCGUGCAGGAUGAAGGCCCUCGGGUUGUAAACUGCUUUUGUACGGAACGAAAAGCCUGGGGCUAAUAUCCCCGGGUCAUGACGGUACCGUAAGAAUAAGCACCGGCUAACUACGUGCCAGCAGCCGCGGUAAUACGUAGGGUGCAAGCGUUAAUCGGAAUUACUGGGCGUAAAGCGUGCGCAGGCGGUUUUGUAAGACAGUGGUGAAAUCCCCGGGCUCAACCUGGGAACUGCCAUUGUGACUGCAAAGCUAGAGUGCGGCAGAGGGGGAUGGAAUUCCGCGUGUAGCAGUGAAAUGCGUAGAUAUGCGGAGGAACACCGAUGGCGAAGGCAAUCCCCUGGGCCUGCACUGACGCUCAUGCACGAAAGCGUGGGGAGCAAACA